rnacentral:rRNA from 1 species
GACAGACUUAAAACAUUUAUUUUCUUCAAUAAAAUUUUAUCUUAAUUCAACAUCGAGGUCGCAAUAAUUUUUAUCAAUAUGAACUCUCUAAAAAUAUAACGCUGUUAUCCCUAAGGUAAUUUAAUAUAAAUUCAUUAAUUAAUGGAUAAAAAAUUCAUAAAUUAAUGUAAUAAUAAUAAAAAAUUUAAUUAAAUUUUUCAAUUUCCCCAAUCAAAUAAAAUUAUACCUUAAAAUAAUUUAUAAAUUAUUUUAAAAAUAAUUAAUAUAAAAUUCUAUAGGGUCUUCUCGUCUAUUAAUAAAUUUUAAGAAUUUUAACUUAAAAUAAAAUUUAAACAAUUAAUUUGAGACAGAUUUUAUUUCAUUCAAUCGUUCAUUCCAGACUUAAUUAAUAAGACAAAUGAUUAUGCUACCUUUGUACAGUCAAAAUACUGCAGCUAUUUAGAUCCCAUUGAGCAGAUUAGAUUUAAAAUUAAAUUCAAUAAACCAUGUUUUUGAUAAAC